rnacentral:rRNA from 1 species
AUUUAACGCUGGCGGCAGGCCUAACACAUGCAAGUCGAGCGAGCGGCGGACGGGUGAGUAAUGUAUGGGGAACUGCCCGAUAGAGGGGGAUAACUACUGGAAACGGUGGCUAAUACCGCAUACUAUCGUAUGUACCCAGAUGGGAUUAGCUAGUAGGUGGGGUAACGGCUCACCUAGGCGACGAUCUCUAGCUGGUCUGAGAGGAUGACCAGCUACACUGGAACUGAGACACGGGCCAGACUCCUACGGGAGGCAGCAGUGGGGAAUAUUGCACAAUGGGCGCAAGCCUGAUGCAGCCAUGCCGCGUGUAUGAAGAAGGCCUUAGGGUUGUAAAGUACUUUCAGCGGGGAGGCGUUACCCGCAGAAGAAGCACCGGCUAACUCCGUGCCAGCAGCCGCGGUAAUAC